GACAAAAAUGGCUCAAGAAAUCUAAGCUGAUCGACACACAAAAGAGAAAGGGAACAUUCCUUAAGUUCAGUGUUUGAGCAAACUACUACAACAAAGAUGUGAUGAAGACAAUUAUUUGAGAAUUGAAGAGCAGCAAUAUAAAUGUAAUGAAGAUGUAGAGACCUGCAGUGAUUUCCAGUCCUUUCAGAAGCAUGAAAUGAGAAAGACUGGAGAGAAACUCUGUCAAUAUGGGCAAUGUGGGGAGGACAGC
rnacentral:lncRNA from 1 species